rnacentral:tRNA from 1 species
GGGGUCAUGGCUCAGAGGUAGAGCACUCGCCUCGAAUGUGUGAGACCAUGGGUUCAACCCCCAGCACCA